rnacentral:misc_RNA from 1 species
GAUGAAGAACGCAGCGAAAUGCGAUAAGUAGUGUGAAUUGCAGAAUUCAGUGAAUCAUCGAAUCUUUGAACGCACAUUGCGCCCCUUGGUAUUCCAUGGCAUGCCUGUUCGAGCGUCAUUUGUACCUUCAAGCUUUGCUUGGUGUUGGGUGUUUGUCCCGAGGGACUCGCCUUAAAGUAAUUGGCAGCCAGUGUUUGGUUUUGAAGCGCAGCACAAGUCGCGAUUCAAGGCUACACGCCCGCUUCCACAAGCCUUUUUUCACUUUUGACCUCGGAUCAGGUAGGGAUACCCGCUGAACUUAAGCAUAUCAAUAACGGAGGA